rnacentral:rRNA from 1 species
AGCAGUAGCCGCGGUAAUACGAAGGGGGCUAGCGUUGCUCGGAAUGACUGGGCGUAAAGGGCGCGUAGGCGGCGGCCAAAGUCAGGCGUGAAAUUCCCGGGCUCAACCUGGGGGCUGCGUUUGAUACUUGGUUGCUUGAGUGGGGAAGAGGGUCGUGGAAUUCCCAGUGUAGAGGUGAAAUUCGUAGAUAUUGGGAAGAACACCGGUGGCGAAGGCGGCAACCUGGUCCUUGACUGACGCUGAGGCGCGAAAGCGUGGGGAGCAAACAGGAUUAGAUACCCCAGUAGUCCCUGUCUCUUAUAC